rnacentral:rRNA from 1 species
CCUCGAUGUCGGCUCAUCACAUCCUGGGGCUGAAGUAGGUCCCAAGGGUAUGGCUGUUCGCCAUUUAAAGUGGUACGCGAGCUGGGUUUAGAACGUCGUGAGACAGUUCGGUCCCUAUCUGCCGUGGGCGCUGGAGAACUGAGGGGGGCUGCUCCUAGUACGAGAGGACCGGAGUGGACGCAUCACUGGUGUUCGGGUUGUCAUGCCAAUGGCACUGCCCGGUAGCUAAAUGCGGAAGAGAUAAGUGCUGAAAGCAUCUAAGCACGAAACUUGCCCCGAGAUGAGUUCUCCCUGAGACUUAAAGUCUCCUGAAGGAACGUUGAAGACGACGACGUUGAUAGGCCGGGUGUGUAAGCGCAGCGAUGCGUUGAGCUAACCGGUACUAAUGAACCGUGAGGCUUAACCUUAC